UAUUAUUCUGUAUCUAUUAUUUCUACAUCUGAGUCUGUACUCGAUUCUGAUAUGUCUAUCAGCGCGAUCGAGUCCUUAAAAAGUUCGUGGACCCAUCCGGGCACGUCUUUAUGUAAAGGAGUCUUAGCUAACAAUCUACUAUAAGCUACUUUUAUGGAUUUUUCCAUAAGAUCUACAAUUUUUUUUUGUAAAUUUGUAGUUGUGGGCUAUCCAAUACCUUAUUUCCUUGUAUUUGUGAUUUGUUUCGCCUGAUUGUAUCAGGAAAUCGAGGAAAGGCCUAUUAAUAUGGAUGUACGUAUAUAAAAAAAAUCAUGGAGGCUUACUGCCUCGGUUCCUCCAUUCGGUAGAAACGAUAUGUGCCUGCUGCGUUGGAAAAGCAACAUACAUAUGGUACUGUGAGGAUGAAACUCAUCUGUACCCUAGUGCUUCCUUGAACUGGGAAUUCUUCUCCCGUUAUAUUUAGCGUUUAUUUUUCCAAAAUAAUUAUCAAGAGUGGCCAUUGUUUUCCAGAAUUAUUAUUAUUUUUUUUUUUUAUUGUUAUUCGCGUGUGUGCAUAUGUAUUCUUAGACCUUAUCUAGGUCAUUAGCUUGGCUUAUGGCUCUUUUGGUUACACAUUUAUUGUGUAA